UGAUCUUUUGUUUGUAGGCUGACUUCAUCCUUAAAGAAACAAAUUAGGUGUGUCAGCAAUCACAUACUGAAGUUCCAUCAGUAGAUGGCAUCUGGUAUCCCAGAGCAGCAUGCUUAGUCUUAACAUACUCUUUUGAUACUCAGACAGAGGCACACUCUAGAUCAGCUAUUCUGUUAGAAUCAGCUUUUCACCUGCUACAAUGACAGCUUGAUCCUGAAAUGAGAUCAGCCUGCAAUGAAGUUACUGGGAUCUUCUGUAACAGGCACUGGGAUUAAGUGGUCAUUUCCUUGGGAGGACUCUGACUGCUGCUGCUGCACUCCCUGUUCCCAUCCUGACAUCUGGAGAGCUUCAAGUACGACUGGCACAGACACUCCUAAGAUCAAGGUCAGACUGUCUGCAGCAUGAAUGACAGAGAGUAUUAAUUUGCCCACAGAUGUGGCAGCACAGAUGAAUAAUCUCCCUGCACUUUAACCAUACAUCUGGCCAUUCAAAAGACUUAAUUAAUUGCAGCACAGAAAUUCCUGCAUCAAGUGGCCCUCUCAGAGGCCUGCAAGGGACAGUCCAACACUGUGUAUUGCCUCUGUGCUGUAUGCCUUCACCAGGGCAUAAAUUAAAAUUCACCAGUUAUAAAUUAAAGUUUUCCAGGUUCACUUCUUUCAGGCUCAUGCCAGAAAGAGAUAGUUUUGUUUAAAUAGAAGUAAAUAGUUCAGUCCAUUUUAAUUUUUACUGCUCCUAACAUUAGUUUCUGCUGGCUGGUGGCUAAAGCCUGGUGUAUUCUGAGGUCUUUUUGCAGAACCUGACAUUAAAAAUAGAAUUAAUAGUUUUGGAAAAAGUCACUGUUGGCAGACUGGUUCUGUUCAAGUUGGAAAAUAUUUUACCUAUUGAUUUCAAUGAAAAAUGUUAGGUCCAUAGUGGGAGUUCUUCAAAAUCUACUUCUGACUAUAUUAGAAACAUUUCUAAAAGCUUAUCCACCAAUUUAGCUUUUAUAAUAGCAUGUCACACCGAGACUUUCACCUUUUGACAGAGUUCCCAUAUACUCACCUGGACAGAUCUAGACAACAAGCUCAAAAAUGACCUCUUAAAUAUUUUCCUUAAGUACUAAUAAGCAGAUUUGGAUGUCAGACUAUACUGAUACUCACUAUUUACCUUUACUAAAACUUUGCAAAAGAAACACUGAUGUAAAAGUAAGUUUAAUGAAAUUAUUGGGCAUUUGAUGGAAAUGAAACUUUAAAAAGAUAAAGUCUGUCUUACAAACUAUCAAAUAUAGACUGAGAUAUCUUCAAGCCUGGCCAGCCUUCUUUAAGAAUUUCUGCAUUUCUGUUGCUGAAAGUACUGACAAUGAAAUAUUUGCUGUCAGACUGUAGAACAAGUAAUUGUUGACAUGAUUUGGAAUGGAUUUUGCUUGAGAGUAAUGAUACAGGAGCCAUCUGGUAUUUUCAAUUAUUGCAUACAGGCAUAUUUGUGUGAAUAAUCUUUUUUCUUAUACCUUUUCAGAUUAAUACUGUUACUGUUACAUUUUCUUAUCCCAUUGCUGUUUCCAGUAAAUUGUUCUUAUCUCAGCCUGUGACCUUUGCCUUUUGUGCCUCCAUUUGGAGUGGGGAAGGGAAUGGCUGAUGAUCUGGGGAGUCUCCAGGAGGGCUCUGAGCUGGGGAGUGCCCAUUCCUAAAGCUCCCCAGCCACACCCAGCCCCACAGAGCUGCUCCUCACUCCCCAUCCAGUGGGCUUGGGAAGAGAAUGGGAAGAGUGAAAGGUAGAAAAUUCACCUGAGGCUGAGAUAAGAACAGUUUAAUAGGGAAAAUAAAAGCCACACACACAG
rnacentral:lncRNA from 1 species